rnacentral:rRNA from 1 species
UACAGAGACCUCGAGCGUUAUCCGGAUUUACUGGGCGUAAAGCGUCCGUAGGCGGUUCGUUAAGUCAUCUGUCAAAUCCCGGUGCUCAACAUCGGGGCUGCGGGUGAUACUGGCGAACUAGAGGAUGGAAGAGGCAAGGGGAACUGCCGGUGUAGUAGUAAAAUGCGUUAAUAUCGGCAGGAACACCAAAGGCGAAGGCACCUUGCUGGGACAUUCCUGACACUCAAGGACGAAAGCGUGGGGAGCAAAA